UACGGGGGGGCAAGCGUUGUUCGGAAUUACUGGGCGUAAAGGGCUCGUAGGCGGCCAACUAAGUCAGACGUGAAAUCCCUCGGCUUAACCGGGGAACUGCGUCUGAUACUGGAUGGCUUGAGUUCGGGAGAGGGAUGCGGAAUUCCAGGUGUAGCGGUGAAAUGCGUAGAUAUCUGGAGGAACACCGGUGGCGAAGGCGGCAUCCUGGACCGAUACUGACGCUGAGGAGCGAAAGCCAGGGGAGCAAACGGG
rnacentral:rRNA from 1 species